rnacentral:rRNA from 1 species
AGAGCGAACGCUGGCGGCAGGCCUAAUACAUGCAAGUUGAACGAACCCUUCGGGGUUAGUGGCGGACGGGUGAGUAACACGUGGGAACGUGCCUUUUGGUUCGGAACAACUCAGGGAAACUUGAGCUAAUACCGAAUGUGCCCUUCGGGGGAAAGAUUUAUCGCCAUUAGAGCGGCCCGCGUCUGAUUAGCUAGUUGGUGGGGUAAAGGCCCACCAAGGCUACGAUCAGUAGCUGGUCUGAGAGGAUGAUCAGCCACACUGGGACUGAGACACGGCCCAGACUCCUACGGGAGGCAGCAGUAGGGAAUCUUGCGCAAUGGGCGAAAGCCUGACGCAGCCAUGCCGCGUGAAUGAUGAAGGUCUUAGGAUUGUAAAAUUCUUUCAGCGGGACGAUAAUGACGGUACCGCAGAAGAAGCCCGGCUAACUUCGUGCCAGCAGCCGC